rnacentral:lncRNA from 1 species
UAUAAAUAUAUGUAUGUUGUGUGUGUUUGAGUGUGGGAGUGGGUUUAUUGGGUUCUUGGUGUUGGACUGUAAAGCUCUUGAGAGUCCAAGGGCCUACCCUGUGCUACAAUGCAAAAAUCUCUCUCUCGCUCGCUCGAAUGUCGAAUGUCCCUGCCCCAACGUUACUCAGAGCUUCAGUCCGAGUACAGUAGAUAUCCAUAAUUAAGUAUUCCGUAUUUGUAUUUAUUCUAUCCUGUAUAUGCAGCACUUGUAAAUGGUAUUGUAAUAUUUGUAAUUCGUCUCGUAGGGCUCCUGUGUGGUCUGUGUGGCUGUUGUGUGUGUGUGUGUGUGGUUUUCUCGCUUACAAAAUACGUUUCACAAUAACUGGCUUAAGAGUUAACUUCACAAAUAAGUUUGCAUGUAUAUAUAUUCUGUAUGUAUAUAUAAUUUGUUUGUUAAUACAAUAUUUUACAAAGCGUUCAGGUCAAUUGCAAAUGAUAGGCGCUGAAAUUUCACUACAAACUCAAUGGGUCUUUCCGUUUUUUUAUUGUUUAAUGUAACCUUAGAAUUGUGCAAUGCAAUCAAUCAUUGGCUUAAGAAUAUUCGUUCCCUUUUUUUGCACGUUUAUCUUUUAACAAUUAACUAAACAAACCGCAAACAACAUGGUGUUCGACCAACCCUCGAUUGCCACUACAAAUGUCCUGCUGAUCCUGCUGUAUAUGUAUGUUAGAUGUAUAUUUUAGCUCUAGGUUUUGGGUAGGGUGGGGGGUGUUUAGCUACGAUUUAAAACGCCCUCCUCGAUUAAAAACUAUAAAAAACCCCACCACGAGCCAUUGUCAAACUGUGCGAAUUUCUCACAACUGAAUUACACGAGUAUUGUAGCUCCCUCUCUUGGGAGGGAGAUCUUCUCUAUUCGUUACUUAAGUCAUUCCACUUUUAAAAGCAUUUUUAAAAUACAGUUGGAUGCCUUUCUGACAAAAAUAUAUAUGUAUAUAUCAUAUAUUAUAUAGAGACUUUUUUGGGGGUUGGAAUGUGGGGGAGGACUCGUGGAGGCCGACCUUUGCUUCACCACCAAAUAUUUUUGUUGUUUUGUAAAAGCACCUUAUAAAUUUUACACAUACACACAUCGUCGCCUUGCCACGCCUCCUAGGCUUUUGUUGUUGUAUAUAUAGCUAAAUAGUUAUUCUUUUUAUUUGUUUACCUUUACUUAUACUUUGUUCCAAAAAUUGUCUUUAAACAUUAUACAACACUAUCUGUAUUUGUUUUUGUUUUUGUUUCCUUUUUUGUUUUAUAUACCUGAAUUUUAGAAUUUUGUAUCCGAAACGCCAUUUCCUUUGUUAUGUUUUUUG